rnacentral:lncRNA from 1 species
CCUGAUUGUUGAAAUUUUUUGUUUGUCGGGACGACAUAGAUGACAUAGGUUAAAAGGCGAAGCAUGAUUGGUCGGCUAUGUCUUAUCGCUGCUUUGUCGUGCCUAUGUCGGGUUGACCUCUCGACAAGCUAACGGCAUCUCUUAAGUUUCCGACAGUAUGUCGAUCAUUCCACCCGACAAAGGCACGACAAAGCAGCGAUAAGACAUGGCCGACUAAUCACGCUCCGCCUUUUAACAUAUGUCGUUUAUGUCGCCCCGACAAACAAAAAAUUUCAACAAUCAGGCAGCAGCAGCUCAACUUGCCCUUUUGAACUCCGCAGCUGCUUGAUAAAAAUAGCACGACGAUGACGAAGGUUAUUUCAUAUUUAGAUGCAGAAUAUCACCAGCCGCUUGUCGCGUUUGACCAACAUCGCCAGUCAUUUCGUUCAGCUACCUCGCAACGCAAUGUACCGGUGUGUUUUGUUCUGUACAUUCCUUAUCUGUGGUACGGCUGGGGCCUUUCUAGACCUCAGUCAAGAUUCUAAGGAAAAUGAUGGUCCGACUGAUCUGAGGCCCUUGGGGACGGCGGAAACAAACCACAAUGCACCAGGUGAUGACUAUGCCAACCUUAAGUCUACAAUACGUAAUCUGGAGAAAUCCCUCGCCGCGAAAGAACAGGACAAUCUGAAGCUAGACGCACAACUAAAUAAAAUAACUAGUCUUUAUCAAAGUCUUCUGGAAGCACAUGGAGUUCUUAAAGUAGAAAAGAUGAACUACCAAAAGGAAGUAACUUUAAUCUAUGCAAUGGGGAUCAUUGAAAAAAUAGAGAAUAGAUACGGUCGUGAGUACAAUGCCACCGGCACUGUUCGACGAAGUGAAAGCCUCAGGAGAGCAAAAUGGACCUUCAUUUUCAAAAAUUGCAGGAAUGAGCCGGUAAUCGAACACAUCAUAAACGAAAUCAAUGCGGAUGGUACAAAUGAAGAACAAAUAAUACAGGGCAUCGUAAAAAUUGCUGAAGUAGUAAGUGCAAGAGAAAAGAAAUUUGUGGAAGAAAUUGUGAAGACGGGAACUUAUAUAAACAAUCAAAAACAUAAAAGAAUCAUCCAAAGAAAUCUGGAUAUGCCUAUGAUCUUUUUUGAUAACGUGCCCGAAUACGUAGUAAAAACGGCUACCGUAUUAGAGACGGCGUACAUCGAAGAUUAUGUUACUAAAUAUAAAAAAAAAACUGAUGAAAAUGAUGAGUAGGAUUCAAAGGGUAUGAGGCUCGAUAUGUCGCAGGCAAUUGGCAAUCGCCGGCAAUUUACAAGCCAGUGGUGAAUAAAAUCAUGUUAGCCGCUUGCAAAUUGCCGGCGAUUGCUAAAUGCCUGCGACAGAUGCAAACCGUUAGGUUCGGCCCCCAUAUCCAGGCCAAAAUGAGGCAACCCUGCUAAAAAUGGUGAGUAAAAAUGAGUAGAAAAUCAAAGUCAUUCAUUUGUACUCACCAUUUAUAGCAGGGAUAAAGUUGGUACCCAGACACUUCGCCUAAAAAUUUUCACCUACAAAUUAUUGGACCUAAAAUUAUUUUGCCUACUUACUUCAACUUACGUACAAAAUUAGACAUUAAAACGUGUUCAUCUCACCUACAAUAGGAAAUUGUGUCCAAUCCCCCAAAGAAAAUCCCAGAGUCUCCCUGAUCCUUGAAUGUGUGGUAAGUAUUCUAUAGACUUUGACCAAGAUGGAAAAAAACCUCCUAAUUUGAUAUUGAUUUUUAUUGAUGUUGAAACUGCGUUCCGAAAUGUAUAUACUUUAUCAAUAAAUCCUAUGUAUUGCCGCUUCUUGGUGUGUUAUAUUACCAUUUUAUCAUAUUUAUCAUUUAUUCGAAUGUUAUUGAUGUGACAUAUGCAUAAUAAAAAAAUUAAAUACCUACAUUCAUACUCCAAACAGCUGAUUGAUGUUAUACUUCAC